AAAUUUUCAGUUUAUUUUAAAUUAGAUGUAUUCUAUAUUGGUUCCUCUUCUGGUCGUCGUUUCCUCGCCACCGCUUGGGUGGUCGCUGCUUCAUAGGUCGAUUGCCACUGCUACUGCUACUGCUACGGGCAUUAUUGUGUUUUUAAUUGUUGUGUCGUCCCUCAUUACUCGAAUUAGAAGAGGUUGGAAUCAGAACUCACACCCAAUGAACAACUGAAAGUAGAAGCAGAAGGGGUGAUGCAGCAGUUAAUGACAAUGGUUCAAUAUAUUGCUAUGAGGGAGAAAACAAAGUGAUUGGCUGAAGAACAGGCACACAUUUUUGAGAUUAAACUGGAGCUAACCGGGUGAUUGACUAAAUGAUGAAACACAAGCUGAUGAAAAUGAAGUACUUUAUGUUUUUUUUUUGGGAAAACGGCGCUUUUGGCCCCUCAAUUGUUUUAAUUUUAGAGAUUUAGUCCCUCUCAAUUGAUUUGAACAAAUUUGAUCCUUUAGUUGUUCAUAAUAGAUCACAUUUGAUCCCUUGAUGUUAUA